UACGUAGGGAGCAAGCGUUGUCCGGAAUCAUUGGGCGUAAAGCGCGCGUAGGUGGCCCCGUAAGUCCGCUGUGAAAGUCAAAGGCUCAACCUUUGAAAGCCGGUGGAUACUGUGGGACUAGAGUACGGAAGAGGCGAGUGGAAUUCCUGGUGGUAGCGGUGGAAUGCGCAGAUAUCAGGAGGAACACCGAUGGCGAAGGCAGAUCUCUGGGCCGUAACUGACGCUGAGGAGCGAAAGCAUGGGGAGCGAACAGG
rnacentral:rRNA from 1 species